CGCUAGAUGAAAGGUCUUUGUUUCAGUGUUUUCAGUAUCUAAAGAACACUCGGAUGUGACAGUCACUGCAGCAGGCCCUCCCUCCGUAUCCAGUGGCUGUUUUAUCCAUGUGCAGCUGCAGAAGCAGAACAAGUUUUCAGAAUUCUCGCAGAGCCAGCCUGGCCGUGUCCGGCUACCCCAGCCCUUUGCCCUCAUCUGGCUACACUGGCCAUUGAUGGUGAAUUAAAUCCUCCAACUCUGCGACUGGUGCCAGUGGCAAACAAUGAUGCCAUGUGGACAUGGAUGCCCAACUUUCAGACAAAUUAUGAGGCCUGAGUGCCCUCACGUAAACUUCUUUCCAUCCCUAGUAUCUCAUCUGUGUCCCCAGGCCGUGGUACUUUCCCCGAGCCCCUCGUCAGUUCCUGAUGCUAUCUCUGCCUACACUAAGGCAUGAUUGUGCUUCCAGAAAUUCCUCUGGCUCCUUCUGGUCCACUGGUCUCCCCUGGGCUGCCUUCCCCUCACCACUCAGGUCCAGGACAGAAAUCUACAGAGGAAGAGCUCUGACUUCACCAUGCCCAACAAAAACCAGCUGUUUUUCACUAACAGACAAAACAGUUCUGCUGGUUUCAGAGUCUGCAGUAUGUGUGUUUAGGUCAAGGGUUUCUUUACUGCUUUCUCCGAGAACAAUGGUUGGAGCAUUCUUCAGUCAGCUUGUUUUCCAGAGUAAAGGAAACUUCAGCAUCUAAAACUCAUUCAAGUCUCUGUAACAGACAAGCCAAAGUCAAAGAGAAGAUCAUAACAAUUUCCACGACUUAAGCAGAUACUGGGUAUCAGGCUAAAUACUUCACAAAAUUACUUCACUGUAUUAGGUAACAAAGGGACAUCCUCUGCUUUUUCCAGUUGAGCUGAGGUUCAGUAAUCACCUAGGAUUACAAGCUUGCCCGGCAGCAGAGCAGGAUUUUACCCCUAGCUGUCUGCUCUUAACCCUGCCCUCUCCCACGUGCUGGUGCCUCCUUGUGACAUUUAACCAGGAGAUUCGGCGAUGAUUGACGCUCCCAAGUGCUGCUAGGAAUGGCCAUCCCCAAAGACCUUCCCAUCCACCCCUGCCCAUUCUGAGGCUGCCUCCAAGUGUCAGGGGACUGCUCACCUUCACCGCCAGGAGCGUCCCGAGCACUAUGGAGCCCUUCUGAGUCUAUCGAUAGCCACGAAGCUCCAGAAGAGGAGUGCUCCCCCUCACUCCACUCAUCCCUGUGUGUCCGCCUGGGCUCCUGGAAAGCAGAGCCUGAAACAAGGUCUUUUGUGAUCCCAGGGCACAAGGACAGUGGUGUUGAAGGGAUCAACCUCUCAUGGCUAAAUGGCCUGGCUGAGAGAAACAGGCCAAGGUGGAGCUGAAGGGAAAUGAAGAGGUGGCCGAGACAGUGAGACAGAGACAGAGAGAGACGCUAAGCACUUUGGGAGCA
rnacentral:lncRNA from 1 species